rnacentral:rRNA from 1 species
UCUCCUGGAAAACGGGUGGUAAUACCGGAUGCUCCGCUCCAUCGCAUGGUGGGGUGGGAAAUGCUUUUGCGGCAUGGGAUGGGGUCGCGUCCUAUCAGCUUGUUGGCGGGGUGAUGGCCCACCAAGGCGUUGACGGGUAGCCGGCCUGAGAGGGUGACCGGCCACAUUGGGACUGAGAUACGGCCCAGACUCCUACGGGAGGCAGCAGUGGGGAAUAUUGCACAAUGGGCGCAAGCCUGAUGCAGCGACGCCGCGUGCGGGAUGGAGGCCUUCGGGUUGUAAACCGCUUUUGUUCAAGGGCAAGGCACGGUUUCGGCCGUGUUGAGUGGAUUGUUCGAAUAAGCACCGGCUAACUACGUGCCAGCAGCCGCGGUAAUACGUAGGGUGCGAGCGUUAUCCGGAUUUAUUGGGCGUAAAGGGCUCGUAGGCGGUUCGUCGCGUCCGGUGUGAAAGUCCAUCGCCUAACGGUGGAUCUGCGCCGGGUACGGGCGGGCUGGAGUGCGGUAGGGGAGACUGGAAUUCCCGGUGUAACGGUGGAAUGUGUAGAUAUC